rnacentral:rRNA from 1 species
CCUGCCGGCGACCGGCGCACGGGUGAGUAACACGUAUGCGACCUGCCCCCCGCAGGGGGAUAACCGGGAGAAAUCCCGACUAAUACCGCGUAACGCCGCGGACCUGCAUGGGUCUGCGGCCAAAGGAAGCGAUUCCGGCGGGGGAUGGGCAUGCGGCGCAUUAGCUAGUCGGCGGGGUAACGGCCCACCGAGGCGACGAUGCGUAGGGGUUCUGAGAGGAAGGCCCCCCACACUGGAACUGAGACACGGUCCAGACUCCUACGGAAGGCAGCAG